rnacentral:tRNA from 1 species
GGGGAUAUAGCUCAGUUGGUAAAGUGCUUGUCUUGCACACAUAAGGCCCUGGGUUCAAUCCCCAGUACCACCA